rnacentral:rRNA from 2 species
CGGCAACGGAUAUCUCGGCUCUCGCAUCGAUGAAGAACGCAGCGAAAUGCGAUACCUGGUGUGAAUUGCAGAAUCCCGUGAAUCAUCGAGUCUUUGAACGCAAGUUGCGCCCGAGACCAUUCGGUUGAGGGCACGCCUGCCUGGGCGUCACGCGUUGCGUCGC